rfam:Populus trichocarpa scaffold_1_contig_842, whole genome shotgun sequence.
UAAUUUAUCUUGGGCAAAUCUUCAUCUAGUUAUGGUAGACUCACACCUGACUGCUUAUAAUCACUAAUUAUUAUAGAAUUGACUACAUCAAAAUUGGUCGGUUUUUUUGUUUUCAAAGAGAUUUAAACUUGAUGCAGACGAAAGCUAUAAACACAAUAAUUAAAG